rnacentral:rRNA from 1 species
CCUACGGGAGGCAGCAGUGAGGAAUAUUGGUCAAUGGACGAGAGUCUGAACCAGCCAAGUAGCGUGAAGGAUGACUGCCCUAUGGGUUGUAAACUUCUUUUAUAUGGGAAUAAAAUGUUCCACGUGUGGGAUUUUGUAUGUACCAUAUGAAUAAGGAUCGGCUAACUCCGUGCCAGCAGCCGCGGUAAUACGGAGGAUCCGAGCGUUAUCCGGAUUUAUUGGGUUUAAAGGGAGCGUAGGUGGAUUGUUAAGUCAGUUGUGAAAGUUUGCGGCUCAACCGUAAAAUUGCAGUUGAAACUGGCAGUCUUGAGUACAGUAGAGGUGGGCGGAAUUCGUGGUGUAGCGGUGAAAUGCUUAGAUAUCACGAAGAACUCCGAUUGCGAAGACAGUUCACUGGACUGCAACUGACACUGAGGCUCGAAAGUGUGGGUAUCAAACAGGAUUAGAUACCCGAGUAGUC